UAGACACAAAUCUGGUAAUCUAUUAAAAUUUGGAUUUAUCUAGAUACUUAUAUUAAAAAUAUACGGAGCAGACCGAAAGAUCUCUCUAUCUAAAAAUCUAAUCUAAAAACUUCUUAAUAAUGGGUAAAACAAAGCCAUAUUGUGUUGUACACAUAUAUUUACAGUAUGGAAUCUUUAUCUUGUCAUAUGCAAAUGGAAAAGAUAUAUGUAUAUAGCGGUAAUGGUCAAACCAUUGGACAUUUAAAUGGAUGAGCAGUCAGUGGGGCAACCACGCACACAUAUGUCAUUCAACAAAGCAGGAACCCAGGAAUUCAGUGGUCUCCCCCACUGCCAUUUGCCCGCCCCUCCUGGAGCAUGGAGUGAAUCAAUGGUUUGGCUGUGCUUGUCAACACAAAAUGGACAGGUAUCAAUUAAUCUUACGCAUGGGUCUUGGCCUGAUGAUGAGGAGGCGAUAUGGAGCUGGAGGUGGAACAGGAGCAGGCGAUGGAACUGGAGCUGGAGCUGAUGUGGCUUAUCCUUAUCCAUAUCAAAAUUCAAUGUGCAUACAACGCACGCUCGCCAAGGCAAUUUGUUUGAUGGCGCUCUCUUUCUCUACGUCUGUCUGUCUCUCGUUCGCUGCGUGUCAGAGUCAGAGUUGACAAAAGAGAUGCCUGGGCAACCCAAAGGUCAGGGACAUAAAUUAAAGCAACGCGUACAGACACUAAAAGAGAAUCAGGAGGAGGAGUUAAAUUUCCAAAAAAG